GGAGUUAGGAAAUGUAAGAGUGCUAAUAUCGUGCUUAUUUGACAAAGGCUCCAAAGGAAGCCACGGCUAACUCUGUGCCAGCAGCCGCGGUAAUACAGAGGUGGCGAGCGUUGUUCGGAAUUAUUGGGCGUAAAGAGCACGUAGGUGGGUUUGCAAGUCAGAUGUGAAAGCCUUCUGUUCAACGGAAGAAUUGCACCUGAAACUGCUAAUCUUGAGUAUAGGAGGGGAGAGUGGAACUUCUGGU
rnacentral:rRNA from 1 species